UACGAAGGACCCAAGCGUUAUCCGGAUUUAUUGGGUUUAAAGGGUGCGUAGGCGGGUUAUUAAGUCAGUGGUGAAAGCCUGCAGCUUAACUGCAGAAUUGCCAUUGAUACUGAUGAUCUUGAGUAUGAUUGAGGUGGGCGGAAUGUGUCAUGUAGCGGUGAAAUGCUUAGAUAUGACACAGAACACCGAUUGCGAAGGCAGCUCACUAAGCCAUAACUGACGCUGGAUGACACGAAAGCGUGGGGGAGCAAACAGG
rnacentral:rRNA from 1 species